CCUACGGGGGGCAGCAGUAGGGAAUAUUGGUCAAUGGAUGCAAGUCUGAACCAGCCAUGCCGCGUGCAGGAAGAAGGCCUUCUGGGUUGUAAACUGCUUUUGCCGGGGGAUAAAAUUCCCAUGCGUGGGACAUUGAAGGUACCCGGUGAAUAAGCCACGGCUAACUACGUGCCAGCAGCCGCGGUAAUACGUAGGUGGCAAGCGUUGUCCGGAUUUAUUGGGCGUAAAGCGCACGUAGGCGGACUACUAAGUCGGAUGUGAAAUCCCUCGGCUUAACCGAGGAAGUGCAUUCGAUACUGGCAGUCUUGAGUACAGAAGAGGGUCGCGGAAUUCCCGGUGUAGAGGUGAAAUUCGUAGAUAUCGGGAGGAACACCAGUGGCGAAGGCGGCGGCCUGGGCUGAUACUGACGCUGAGGUGCGAAAGCGUGGGGAGCAAACAGG
rnacentral:rRNA from 1 species